UACGAAGGGGGCUAGCGUUGCUCGGAAUUACUGGGCGUAAAGGGAGCGUAGGCGGGUCGUCAAGUUGGGGGUGAAAGCCCAGGGCUCAACCUUGGAACUGCCUUCAAAACUGACGAUCUAGAGUAUGGAAGAGGUAAGUGGAACUCCGAGUGUAGAGGUGAAAUUCGUAGAUAUGGGGAGGAACACCGGUGGCGAAGGCGGCCAUCUGGACGGAUACUGACGCUGAGACGCGAAAGCGUGGGGAGCAAACAGG
rnacentral:rRNA from 1 species